rfam:Otolemur garnettii contig182981, whole genome shotgun sequence.
CUUUGCACUCUUAGGCAAAACAUAUAUUAAAAUUAGAACAGAACAGAGAUUAGCAUGGCUGUCUGCAUAAGGAUGACCUAUAUCAUGAAGCAUUCCUUAUUUUU